rnacentral:rRNA from 1 species
UACGGAGGGUCCAAGCGUUAUCCGGAAUCAUUGGGUUUAAAGGGUCCGUAGGCGGUUUUGUAAGUCAGUGGUGAAAGCCCAUCGCUCAACGGUGGAACGGCCAUUGAUACUGCAAGACUUGAAUUAUUGGGAAGUAACUAGAAUAUGUAGUGUAGCGGUGAAAUGCUUAGAGAUUACAUGGAAUACCAAUUGCGAAGGCAGGU